CUGGCUCAGGAUGAACGCUAGCUACAGGCUUAACACAUGCAAGUCGAGGGGCAGCAGGAAUCUAGCUUGCUAGAUUGCUGGCGACCGGCGCACGGGUGCGUAACACGUAUUCAAUCUACCCAUUGCUCAGGGAUAGCCUUGCGAAAGUAAGAUUAAUACCUGAUGGUCUCACGCCUCCGCAUGGCGGUGUGAGUAAAGAUUCAUCGGCGAUGGAUGAGGAUGCGUACGAUUAGGUAGUCGGCGGGGUAACGGCCCACCGAGCCUGCGAUCGUUAGGGGUUCUGAGAGGAAGGUCCCCCACACUGGAACUGAGACACGGUCCAGACUCCUACGGGAGGCAGCAGUGAGGAAUAUUGGUCAAUGGUCGAGAGACUGAACCAGCCCAAGUAGCGUGAGGGACGACUGCCCUAUGGGUUGUAAACCUCUUUUGUUUGGGAAUAAAGUGCCGUACGUGUACGGUUUUGUAUGUACCUUACGAAUAAGCAUCGGCUAAUUCCGUGCCAGCCGCCGC
rnacentral:rRNA from 1 species